GUGCUCACUUCAGCAGUACAUACAGUAAAAAAUUGAAAUGAUAUAGAGAUAAACAUGGCCCCUGCACAAAGAUGACACACAAAUUUGUGAAGCAUUCCAUAUUUUU